CUUGAAGUCUCUUCCAGGCAGACAUUUACGAGAAUUGUACGUUUGUUUGACUUUUAAGGGAAAUCGAAUAGAUGGGAGGCAGAAUCUCACAUCCCAGCACUGAAGUCUUAGACUACAGACUUGAGCUUUGUCAGUUGAAUUCUCCUGCCUGGGACUGAAUCUGGAGCAGAUUCUAUUAGUUGUUUCUUAUACUGGCUCUGAUGAAGCAAGCUGCCAUAGGGAGAAGUCCAUGUGGCAAGGAACUGAGGGUGGCCUGCAGCUAACAACUAUCAAGAAAUUGAUGUCCUCAGUCCAAUAACCUGUAAAGAAUUGUACCCUACUGACAACCGUGUGAACUUGGAAGAGCAUCCUUCCCCAGUCUAGCCUAUAUGAGACCCUAGGCCUGGUUGAGACCUUGAGCUUCAGCCUAGUAAAACACCCUGAAGCAGAGAACCAGUUAAAUCAUAUCCAGAUUUCUGACCCAGAGAAACUGUGAGAUAAUAAAUAUGUGGUGUUUUAAGCUGCUAAUUUUGUGGUUAUUUUUCACAUGGCAACAGAUAACUAACACAUUCACCCAAGGUCAUACAAGUGGUAAGUUAAUGAGUAAGGAUAUGAAACUUGGCAGUCUGGCUUUGAUUUAGG
rnacentral:lncRNA from 1 species